rnacentral:rRNA from 1 species
UAGGGAAUCUUCGGCAAUGGGGGCAACCCUGACCGAGCAACGCCGCGUGAGUGAAGAAGGUUUUCGGAUCGUAAAGCUCUGUUGUAAGAGAAGAACGUGUGUGAGAGUGGAAAGUUCACACAGUGACGGUAACUUACCAGAAAGGGACGGCUAACUACGUGCCAGCAGCCGCGGUAAUACGUAGGUCCCGAGCGUUGUCCGGAUUUAUUGGGCGUAAAGCGAGCGCAGGCGGUUUAAUAAGUCUGAAGUUAAAGGCAGUGGCUUAACCAUUGUUCGCUUUGGAAACUGUUAAACUUGAGUGCAGAAGGGGAGAGUGGAAUUCCAUGUGUAGCGGUGAAAUGCGUAGAUAUAUGGAGGAACACCGGUGGCGAAAGCGGCUCUCUGGUCUGUAACUGACGCUGAGGCUCGAAAGCGGGGGAGCAAACAGG